UCAGAAUUAUGGAGCUGGGUCCUCGUGUCCGGAGCCUAUGUCUGGGAGUAUGGCAAAUGGGCCGUCUGUCCCUUACAGAUUAAUCUGUUGGGUCUCCAAGGUUUGAACCUAGCUCGACCAGAAAACAGGCUGCCUUUCACAGUACCACAGGAGACCACCAAUUCAGUAUACAAAGACAACCCUGGCAUCAUAAUUUUCCAAAACUGAGUUUACGAAUCAAACUGAACCCCAUGCCUGGCAUCAGAGUAAGAACAUGAAUCCUGAAAUAGAUGACCUGGGUUCCCGUGUUCUUGUCACUCAUUGGCUGGAAACUUCUCUGUGGAAGAAAGGGUCCCAUGUAUACGAGUCUGGCCUCCAAUUCACUUUGCAGCCAAGGAGGGUCUGAACUUCUGAUUCUCCUGCUUCCAGCUUGCAGUGUUCAGAAUACAGGCAUAAGCAAAAUAGCACCUGGUUGUGCAGAAUAAUGCUGGGGACUGGCAAGAUGCUUCAGUUGAUAAAAUGAUUGCUGCCUGGCUGUGAGGAUCUGGGUUUGGAUCCCAGCACCAUGGAUGAGCUGAGUGUGGCAGGGCACAUCAAUGACCCUCGGAUUGGAUGAAGUGGAGACAGGCAGAUCCUGGAGCUCACUGGCUGCCAGUCAGGUUGAAUUGGGAGCCUUCAGAUUUGGUGAAGGACCCUGUCAAAAAAAUACAGAGUAGCUGAUAAAGGCAUGGGAUAUCAACCUCUGGCCUCCGUAUGCAUAUCCACACACAUACACACACACACACACACACACACACACACACACACACAGGCACAAACAGAGGCAUGUACACAUAUGCACACACACAGGCACAUGUGCAUAUGCACACUGAGAGAGAGAAUAAAAUUGCUACAGU
rnacentral:lncRNA from 1 species